AAGACAUGAAAGCAAUUUCACAGGGAAAAUAUACCAAAACAUCAUAUGAUGGGAUCCCAAGAGGCAAAAUAAGCUGUAAAUUUAUGUAAUUAUUCUUUAUUUUUCAAACAGAGAUGCCUUUAAUAGUGUAUCCUCCAUUCUUUUCCUUAAAUCUUCCUAGUUAAAUCUUUCUUUCCCCAUAAAUUGACAAUUUCCUUAGUGCUUUGCCUUAUGCAUGCCCCCAUUCUUUUCAUAUGCACAGUUUGAUUUCACUUUGCUUUGUCCAAAAUUAUAAGAUCAAGAGUUCACUUCAUAAAAAUCUCCAUCAUCUGCUGCAAUUGAAAGAAGAUCUAUCAUGGCAGCUUUGGUGUAAAAUCUUUCACAUUUAGAGCUUGCAUUUUUGCAUGCUAAAUUCUUCAACAAAAUAAGAGAUCGGUAUCAUUGGCUGCUAAAUUGUCAGAAGAGCAUGGAGCCUUAUAGUGAUUUAUCCUCGAGGAGAAAGCCCGCAAGCAAGGCAAAAGCACAGGCUUUAGGAUCACAGGAGGGAAGUUCAAGUUAUGAUCAAGAGAUAGAAGACACCGAGUACCUUCAGAACCUGCCUCUAUAUAAAACGGUCGAUAAUGGAGAUUGGGAGGCUGCAAUGAAAUUCCUUGAAGAAAACCCUGCUGCACUGACUGCUAGCCUUUCAGCAGAUGGGGACACAGCCCUUCACGUUGCGGUUCUGGCAGGGCAUGAAGAGAUCGUCAAGGAGUUGAUAAAAAAGUUGAGUGCGGAGGACUUAGCAAUCAAAAACGAAAACAAUGCUACUGCGCUUAAUUAUGCAGCCAUUGGAGGGAUCACAAAAAUUGCAGAGGACUUAGUUGAAAAGAACAAAAACUUGCUUACCAUUCCUAAUCAGAAUGACCUGAUACCGGUUGUUGUUGCUUCACUUUAUGGCCAUAAAGAAAUGGUUCGUUACCUCUAUAAAGAGAGUCCCAAAGAGGAACUUAGUCCUGAAAAAGGCAACAAUGGAAUUAUGCUUCUUACUACUUGUAUCCUUGGCGAACUCUAUGAUAUUGCAUUGGAUUUGCUUCAACUUCACCCACAAUUGGCAUUUUAUCAAGAUAGUGACAACGAUACAGCACUUUACAUGUUGGCUCAAAAACCUUCUGCAUUUCCCAGUGGAAGCACACUUCCUCUCUGGCAACAAUGGAUAUAUGAUUAUAAGAAUAUGGCACUUGCAGCUUAUAUGACCAAAAGGAAGUAUUUUAGCCCAUGAACUCUAUCUGCUUUUACCUGAAGAUGUACUAUAAGUGUACUUUUUAGCUUGAUGACUUGCCUGAAUGAUCCCUUAUUUCGUUUUGAAGGUAUCCGCGUUCCUGAGCCUCAUUUCUCUAACAACACCCAUGGAGACAUCGAAAGGCCUCGCAAUGGACCGAUCAUACGAAGGAACACCAAUAGAGGAGCACUUUUCCAAUUGUCAGUUAUCAUUUGGAAAUGCCUGAAACCAUUAGUUCCAGGAAUCAGGCAUCUGUAUAACCUAAAGCUGACACAUGCACAAGCACAAGAACUUCUGUGUUGCAUUUGCCAACAAUUAUCGACCCUGCGUAAGUCAGAAUUUGACAGACUUGGAGUUCAGAAAGCCAUAUUCAUUGCUGUUGAGCAUGGAAUUGUGGAGUUCAUUGUAGAGAUGACUAAGCACUACCCUGACAUUAUAUGGUGCGAGGAUGAAUGUAAACGGGGUAUAUUCAUGUAUGCAACCCUGCAACGCCAAGAAAAGAUUUUCAGUCUUAUUUAUAAGAUGGGUGCCAAGAAAAACUACAUGGCAACUCAUUGGGAUAAGUUUUUUAACAACAUUUUACAUCAAGCUGCAUACUUGGCACCUUCCUCUCAGCUUGAAUGUGUCUCAGGUGCAGCAUUGCAAAUGCAAAGGGAAUUACAAUGGUUCAAGGAAGUGGAGAGUAUUGCACAGCCCAAGUACAGGGACAUGGUGAACAUUUAUCAUAAGACUCCUCGAGCUUUAUUUUCAGAGACCCACAAGAGAUUAGUGGAAGAAGGUGAGGAAUGGAUGAAAAACACAGCUGAGUCCUGCACGGUUGUGGCUGCUCUUAUAGCAACCAUUAUGUUUUCUGCAAUCUUUACAGCUCCUGGAGGUUAUGAUCAGGCUGGCGAGCCUCUAUACCUGUAUCAAAAUCUGUUCAUGGUUUUCAUCGUAUCUGAUGCAAUGUCUUUAUUUGCUUCCACAUCCUCAUUACUUAUGUUCUUGGGAAUCCUGACGUCUCGAUACAGAGAAGAAGAUUUCCUAAUGUCCUUGCCUACCAAGUUGAUAAUAGGGCUUUCCAGUCUUUUCUUCUCUAUAGCAACUAUGAUGAUAACCUUUGGAGUAACUCUCGUUAUUUUUCUUCACAAAAGAAUACCCUGGGUUUCCUUUCCAAUCAUUCUGCUUGCCAGCCUUCCUGUCACUCUGUUUGCUUUGCUGCAAUUUCCUAUUCUGGUUGAGAUUUUCUUCUCUACUUAUGGACCUGGGAUUUUUGACAAGCCUAGGAAGUGGCGGUUCUUUUAAUCACAAUUCCUACAUAUCAAUUCUCACUGCUUUGAUUGAUUUUGUUAUUACUCGUUUCUGGUGAUGAAGAGCAAAACUAUUGAUGUGCUGUUUUAUUUGUUGGUGGUGGAAAGAGGAAGCAUACCUUCUCAAUUUACUAAAUUAUAGAAAAUUGGCAGAAUAUUGUUUUGUUAUUUUUCUAAGUCUUGUGGUUAUUCAAGGAUUUCUUUUCUUGUAAUUUGCAUAAAAUUUUGGAUUGAGGGUAUUCACCCUCGGUCCAACUAUUAUAAACUCUACCUCAUGAAUAACCUUUGCAUUCAACAUUUGUAUAAGAAUUGCACCCUCAUUAAUGCCACUAAAA
rnacentral:misc_RNA from 1 species